AUGGCGGUGGUCAAAAUGCUAUCAUCACGGGCUUCUAACCCUUCUCUCCGGGGUUCGAAUCCUCCCGCCGCCGUU
rnacentral:tRNA from 1 species